rnacentral:rRNA from 1 species
CCGAGUUUCACUCCCAACCCCUGUGAACAUACCUAUACGUUGCCUCGGCGGAUCAGCCCGCGCCCCGUAAAACGGGACGGCCCGCCCGAGGACCCUAAACUCUGUUUUUAGUGGAACUUCUGAGUAAAACAAACAAAUAAAUCAAAACUUUCAACAACGGAUCUCUUGGUUCUGGCAUCGAUGAAGAACGCAGCAAAAUGCGAUAAGUAAUGUGAAUUGCAGAAUUCAGUGAAUCAUCGAAUCUUUGAACGCACAUUGCGCCCGCCAGUAUUCUGGCGGGCAUGCCUGUUCGAGCGUCAUUUCAACCCUCAAGCUCAGCUUGGUGUUGGGACUCGCGGUAACCCGCGUUCCCCAAAUCGAUUGGCGGUCACGUCGAGCUUCCAUAGCGUAGUAAUCAUACACCUCGUUACUGGUAAUCGUCGCGGCCACGCCGUAAAACCCCAACUUCUGAAUGUUGACCUCGGAUCAGGUAGGAAUACCCGCUG